CACCAGGUUGAUUCUGCCUGACGUAGAUGCUAGUCUCUAAGAUUAAGCCAUGCAUGUCUAUGUAACAAGGACGAACAGCUCAGUACAACUGCGAUGAUUUAGUCUGUCUGUGUGCGAUAACUACGUGAAAAUGUAGCUAAGAGGGGACAGAAUAAGACGCAGGACUAUCAGUUAGUUGGUAGUGUAAUGGACUACCAAGACGAUGACGGUUGACGGGGAAUCAGGGUUCUGUACCGGAGAGGGAGCCUGAGAGAUUGCUCCCACGUCCAAGGACGGCAGCAGGCGCGAAAAUUGCCCACUGUUGUAGGAGGCAGUUAUGAGACGUGAAGAUGAGUGCUUGGCAAAGAGAAGCAGGAGAAUUGGAGGGCAAGUUUGGUGCCAGCAGCCGCGGUAAUACCGACUCCAAGAGUGUGUGUGAGAGAUGCUGCAGUUAAAAAGUCCGUAGUCGUAGAAACGUAAACAGAGACUGGGUCUCUAGCAGAAGUGAUGGAAAAGCCAAUGGGGAACAUAGUAUACCAGGGCGAGAGAUGAAAUGUCAAGACCCCUGGUGGACUCACCGAGGCGAAAGC
rnacentral:rRNA from 1 species